GACAGAGGAGCCAAGCGUUGUCCGGAUUGACUGGGCGUAAAGCGCACGCAGGCGGUCGUGCACGUGGGGUGUGAAAGCUGGCGGCUUAACUGCCAGAUGCCACCUCAUACGGCGCGACUCGAGCCCUGCAGAGGUCCAUGGAAUUGCCGGUGUAGUGGUGAAAUGCGUAGAGAUCGGCAGGAACACCCAGGGGGAAACCAGUGGACUGGGCAGGAGCUGACGCUCAGGUGCGAAAGCGUGGGGAG
rnacentral:rRNA from 1 species